UACGUAGGGGGCGAGCGUUGUCCGGAAUCAUUGGGCGUAAAGAGCGUGUAGGCGGCCCGGUAAGUCCGCUGUGAAAGUCGGGGGCUCAACCCUCGAAUGCCGGUGGAUACUGUCGGGCUUGAGUACGGAAGAGGCGAGUGGAAUUCCUGGUGUAGCGGUGAAAUGCGCAGAUAUCAGGAGGAACACCGAUGGCGAAGGCAGGUCUCUGGGCCAUAACUGACGCUGAGAAGCGAAAGCAUGGGGAGCGAACAGG
rnacentral:rRNA from 1 species